CCCUUAGAUGUUCUGGGCCGCACGCGCGCUACACUGAUGCAUUCAACGAGUUUCUUCCUGGUCCGAGAGGAAUGGGUAACCUUUUGAAAGUGCAUCGUGAUAGGGAUAGACUAUUGCAAUUAUUGGUCUUCAACGAGGAAUUCCUAGUAGACGUAGUUCAUCAGACUGCAUCGAUUACGUCCCUGCCCUUUGUACACACCGCCCGUCGCUACUACCGAUUGAAUGGUUUAGUGAGAUCCUUGGAUCGGCCCUGUCGCGGCUGGCAACGGCCGCGUCGGCGCGUCGAGAAGACGAUCAAACUUGAUCAUUUAGAGGAAGUAAAAGUCGUAACA
rnacentral:rRNA from 1 species